CGGAAUCAUUGGGCGUAAAGCGCCUGUAGGUUGUUUACUAAGUCUGUUGUUAAAGACUAGGGCUUAACCCUAGAAAAGCAAUGGAAACUUGUAGACUAGAGUAUGGCAGGGGUAGAGGGAAUUUCUAGUGUAGCGGUGAAAUGCGUAGAUAUUAGAAAGAACACCGGUGGCGAAAGCGCUCUACUGGACCAUUACUGACACUCAGAGGCGAAAGCUAGGGUAGCAAAAGGGAUUAGAUACCCCUGUAGUCCUAGCCGUAAACGAUGGAUACUAGAUGUUGUGUAUAACAGUAUCGUAGCUAACGCGUUAAGUAUCCCGCCUGGGGAGUACGCUCGCAAGGGUGAAACUCAAAGGAAUUGACGGGGGCCCGCACAAGCGGUGGAGCAUGUGGUUUAAUUCGAUGCAACGCGAAGAACCUUACCAGGGCUUGACAUACUACGAAUUCUCUUGAAAAAGAGAAGUGCCUUCGGGAAUGUAGAUACAGGUGGUGCAUGGCUGUCGUCAGCUCGUGUCGUGAGAUGUUGGGUUAAGUCCCGCAACGAGCGCAACCCUUAUUUUUAGUUACCAAUUCGUUGGGUUUUUUAGAAAGACUGCCGGUGACAAACCGGAGGAAGGUGAGGAUGACGUCAAGUCAGCAUGCCCCUUAUGUCCUGGGCCACACACGUGCUACAAUGGUUAAGACAAAGAGUUGCGAGCUCGUGAGAGCCAGCUAAUCUAAUAAACUUAGCCUAAGUUCAGAUUGUAGGCUGCAACU
rnacentral:rRNA from 1 species